UACGAAGGGGGCUAGCGUUGCUCGGAAUGACUGGGCGUAAAGGGCGCGUAGGCGGAUGACACAGUCAGAUGUGAAAUUCCCGGGCUUAACCUGGGGGCUGCAUUUGAUACGUGUUGUCUAGAGUGAGGAAGAGGGUUGUGGAAUUCCCAGUGUAGAGGUGAAAUUCGUAGAUAUUGGGAAGAACACCGGUGGCGAAGGCGGCAACCUGGUCCUUGACUGACGCUGAGGCGCGAAAGCGUGGGGAGCAAACAGG
rnacentral:rRNA from 1 species